rnacentral:rRNA from 1 species
AACGAACGCUGGCGGCAUGCCUAACACAUGCAAGUCGAACGGGACCUUCGGGUCUAGUGGCGCACGGGUGCGUAACGCGUGGGAAUCUGCCCCUUGGUUCGGAAUAACAGUUAGAAAUGACUGCUAAUACCGGAUGAUGACGAAAGUCCAAAGAUUUAUCGCCGAGGGAUGAGCCCGCGUAGGAUUAGCUAGUUGGUGAGGUAAAGGCUCACCAAGGCGACGAUCCUUAGCUGGUCUGAGAGGAUGAUCAGCCACACUGGGACUGAGACACGGCCCAGACUCCUACGGGAGGCAGCAGUGGGGAAUAUUGGACAAUGGGCGAAAGCCUGAUCCAGCAAUGCCGCGUGAGUGAUGAAGGGCUUAGGGUCGUAAAGCUCUUUUACCAGGGAUGAUAAUGACAGUACCUGGAGAAUAAGCUCCGGCUAACUCCGUGCCAGCAGCCGCGGUAAU